rnacentral:lncRNA from 1 species
GAUAACAAAGCGUCCUGGAAUCUUUUCUAAGUACCAUGCCUCUGUGCUGUCCAGACACCUCAACAUAAAGGUCGAGGGAGUUUUUCCAAGAUGGUCUGAACCUUCCUGACACCGUCUCUCCUGGCCUGACGCACAUCGGCUCGUCCCUCGGGGUCCACUGAAUCCAGGGCCAGCAGCUCUUUGGUCAAAUACUCUUCGAUCAUCAGGUGUGAAGCUGAACAGAUUCAGACGGAGCUGAGAGGCAAGCAUGACUCAGGGUGCAGAUAGGACACGGGAGUUUGUGCCCAGGAACAACGCUGGCACACACCACAGGAUGAUGUGCAGACAGGAAAAUGAGAGGACUUACUGCUUAGGAAUCCUACUAGGAAUGCCUCAAAUCUCAGCUAAGAACCAGAUUAAGAACUAUUUUUUAGCUAUUAAUGCACAGAAUCCAUUGACAUAUCCCUGAGAUGUUUGGCUUCAGGAUUAAAAUGCUGUCUUAAAGCAGCUGC